AAUAGAAAAGUAGUUGAAAUAAGGGAGCAAAAUCAUUACCGGCAAAUUAAUUUCUUGGACGGUGAGGCUUGGACGACAACGUCACAACAACCUUUUGACGACCACCGCGAGCCUUGGAUAGCGAAGCUUCAACGACAGAUCAGGCGAGGCGAGCUUCGGUAGAUCAAGCGAACUUCAACGACAGAUCAGAAGAGGCUUCGGCAAGCUGCGAGGGAGACGGCGUCACAACGAGUCGGCCACUGGUCGAAAACGAGACUUAUGGCUGCGGGCUGCUGGUGAGGUGAGUGUGUGGGAAAGUUGAAUGAAGGGAGGCAACGAGAGAGUAGAGACAUCGACACUAAUAGAAAGUAGAAGGGUAAAAGCUUGUUUAAUCCCUAUAUUAUGAGGUUAGUGUCUAUUUAGUCUAUGUAUUUUUAAAAAUACCUCAAAAUAUCCCUGCUACUAAAUAUUGACACUUAUGCCAUUAUUUUUUUUUAUUUUUAACUUGCUUUUACAAUAUUACAUU
rnacentral:lncRNA from 1 species